rnacentral:rRNA from 1 species
AGAGUUUGAUCCUGGCUCAGGAUGAACGCUAGCGGCAGGCCUAAUACAUGCAAGUCGAGGGGCAGCGGUUCGGCCGGCGACCGGCGCACGGGUGCGUAACGCGUAUGAAAGGUUUCCAGAACACUGGGAUAGCCCCCGGAAACGGGGAUUAAUACCGGAUGGUCCGUAGGAGAGGCAUCUUUUUUACGGUAAAGAUUUAUCGGUUCUGGGUCCUCAUGCGUUCGAUUAGCUAGUUGGGGGGGUAACGGCCCACCAAGGCGACGAUCGAUAGGGGUCCUGAGAGGGAGGUCCCCCACACUGGUACUGAGACACGGGCCAGACUCCUACGGGAGGCAGCAGUAGGGAAUAUUGGGCAAUGGAGGCAACUCUGACCCAGCCAUGCCGCGUGCAGGAAGAAGGCCCUCUGGGUUGUAAACUGCUUUUGGACGGGGACAAAAAGAUCAUGCGUGGUCAAUUGAGUGUACCGUCAGAAUAAGCACCGACUAACUCCGUGCCAGCAGCCGCGGUAAUACGGAGGGUGCAAGCGUUGUCCGGAUUUAUUGGGUUUAAAGGGUGCGUAGGUGGCCUGAUAAGUCAGUGGUGAAACCCUUGGGCUUAACCCAAGGAGUGCCAUUGAUACUGUCAGGCUUGGGUUACCUCUAGGCGGGCGGAAUGGAUGGUGUAGCGGUGAAAUGCAUAGAUAUCAACCAGAACGCCGACAGCGAAGGCAGCUCGCUGGGGGUAUACCGACACUGAGGCACGAUAGCGUGGGGAUCAAACAGGAUUAGAUACCCUGGUAGUCCACGCCGUAAACGAUGGCCACUCGAU